rnacentral:rRNA from 1 species
UCCGUAGGUGAACCUGCGGAAGGAUCAUUACAAGUGAGGCUACCGAACGUUGGAAACAGCGGUUAGGAGCUUACACCCACCCGUGUUUACAUACUAUUGUUGCUUUGGCGGGCCGUGGCCUCCACUGCGGGCUCUGCUCGUGUGUGCCCGCCAGAGAACCAAACUCUGAAUGUUAGUGAUGUCUGAGUACUAUCUAAUAGUUAAAACUUUCAACAACGGAUCUCUUGGUUCUGGCAUCGAUGAAGAACGCAGCGAAAUGCGAUAAGUAAUGUGAAUUGCAGAAUUCAGUGAAUCAUCGAAUCUUUGAACGCACAUUGCGCCCUGUGGUAUUCCGCAGGGCAUGCCUGUUCGAGCGUCAUUUAACCACUCACGCCUAGCGUGGUAUUGGGGCACGCGGUCUCGCGGCCCUCAAAAUUAGUGGCGGCGCCGGUGGGCUCUAAGCGUAGUACAUACUCCCGCUAUAGAGUUUCUCCGGUGGCUCGCCAGAACCCCCAAUUUUUUUUUUACAGGUUGACCUCGGAUCAGGUAGGGAUACCCGCUGAACUUAAGCAUAUCAAUAAGCGGAGGA